GGAAGGAUCAUUAUUGAAAUAGACCUGAUGGGUUGUUGCUGGCUCUCCAGGGAGCAUGUGCACGCCUUGUCAUCUUUAUAUCUCCACCUGUGCAUCUUUUGUAGACCCUUUUCCAGGGUCUAUGUUGCUUCAUUUACCCCAAAUGUAUGUCGAUAGAAUGUUGUGCCUAUUAUAUAAUGUAUACAACUUUCAGCAACGGAUCUCUUGGCUCUCGCAUCGAUGAAGAACGCAGCGAAAUGCGAUAAGUAAUGUGAAUUGCAGAAUUCAGUGAAUCAUCGAAUCUUUGAACGCACCUUGCGCUCCUUGGUAUUCCGAGGAGCAUGCCUGUUUGAGUGUCAUUAAUACAUAUAUCAACCUUCCCUUUUGGUGAAUGGUUUGGAUGUGGGGGUUUGCUGGCCUCUAAAGAGUUCAGCUCCCCUGAAAUGCAUUAGCGGAACAACCUGGUUCAUCGGUGUGAUAAAAUAUCUACGCUGUUGAAUGUGAGGGGCAGUUCAGCUUUCUAAACAGUCCUUGGACAAAUCUUCAUUAAUGUGACCUCAAAUCAGGUAGGACUACCCGCUGAACUUAAGCAUAUCA
rnacentral:sRNA from 1 species